CACUCCUGCGGGAGGCAGCAGUGGGGAAUUUUGGACAAUGGGCGAAAGCCUGAUCCAGCAAUGCCGCGUGCAGGAUGAAGGCCUUCGGGUUGUAAACUGCUUUUGUACGGAACGAAAAAGCUCCUUCUAAUACAGGGGGCCCAUGACGGUACCGUAAGAAUAAGCACCGGCUAACUACGUGCCAGCAGCCGCGGUAAUACGUAGGGUGCGAGCGUUAAUCGGAAUUACUGGGCGUAAAGCGUGCGCAGGCGGUUAUGUAAGACAGAUGUGAAAUCCCCGGGCUCAACCUGGGAACUGCAUUUGUGACUGCAUGGCUAGAGUACGGUAGAGGGGGAUGGAAUUCCGCGUGUAGCAGUGAAAUGCGUAGAUAUGCGGAGGAACACCGAUGGCGAAGGCAAUCCCCUGGACCUGUACUGACGCUCAUGCACGAAAGCGUGGGGAGCAAACAGGAUUAGAAACCCGAGUAGUCCC
rnacentral:rRNA from 1 species